rnacentral:lncRNA from 1 species
AGAAGGGCUUCAGGACUCGGAUUACCCCCAUGAAAUCUCUCCCUGUCCCAAAGCACGUCCUGCGCGCUGGCUGAGGCAGGAGAAGUGUUCCAGUCUCUAUUGAAACCUGCGACUUCCACCACCCCUUUGGUGGCUGGGAAUGGCGCCCAGACAUGAAAUAACGAACUGAAACCCCUCCACGCGUUGACCAAAGAAAACAAGCUGUCAAACAGAAAUAUCCCCUCGCUCCUUUCCGAGGCGGACCCAAUCUCGUUCCCAUCUGCAGGCUGUGCGGCGCUGGGAAGGCAGCAUGAGGAACUCAGCAUGAAAUCGUCAGCGACGGCGUGCGGUGCUGUUUGUGCAGCAUAAAUCAGUCUGGGGAAUGAAGAGCCCCAUCUUCUUUCUUGCAGAAUUAAAAAAGAGGGGCAUCAAUACUAUGGAUAUUUCAAGUCUCCAGAGAGCUCUGCUUCGAAGGAAAGAGACAGCAGAGCGCCUGCAGCAGAACCAAAGCUUCAGCUCACUGAAUUCUCUGCUUUUUCCUCCCACUUCUACAAAACCACCCUUCAGACCACCAUUGCUCCAGCCAUGGAAGCAGUGUAGUGAAGGCCCAUGAGUCCAUGUGGGAGCUCAGGCAGGGAGGAGGAGGAGGAGACCCAAGUGGCUGUUUUCUCAGUGCUGAGGAUGAUGUGCCCUGCUGCCAUGUGCCAACACCUGCACUGGGCUCCUCGGUCUUCCAUGGGGGUCUCAGCACUGUGAAUCACCACAGCCAUCCCUGCACCACAUCCUCCAGACAGAGCCACGCUGCAGCUCAGGGCAUUCCAUGAAGAAAUUGCUUUCUCAUGACUAAAUGUCAGCAUAGAGAAUGAAUGAAGAAAGACCACAAAUUUACUUAAAAUCUGCAACCGACUCCUCAGCGCAGAGGAAAGACUGGCAUCAGUGUCAUGUCCUGAAGCAGUGUCAUGUCCUGAAGCAGAUGCAGGAAGAACAAUUACUUGUGUUCACAGUAUCCUUAAGGUUGGAAAAGACCACCAGCAUCAUCUAACCCAACCAAGGGGCAGUCUGCUCAGACACAUCUCUUGUCUAAGAGCUUCCAACUUAGUGCAGUUUCCUUAUCCUCGUGCCUAAGGGACAGCACCAGGGACACCAAGGCACACAGUCCUUGUAGGCAUGGCUGGCUGCCAGCCACCCUUGUUCUCUGGUUAAUAGAGGAGCACAUGGAACCGUUGUAGGUAACAUGACCACUGCACGAUCCCGUCAUAGCCAGAAAUGUUUCAGCUGCAUCACUGCUAUAUAUUUUCUUUCCUGCAGCAUCUUAUUUGCCCUUGGUUGUAAGAGGACUGAGCUGAUGUUAGCAUUGUUUUCAGUUCUUCAGCAAAAAUAUUGGUGUUUUUUCUUAAGAAAAAGGCAUGAGCGGAUGAUGUAGUUUUGACUGAUCUGAUAAUAAGUAUAGGAGAAAGCACUCGGUGUGGUUGCAUUGCCCUUUUGUCCUGGGCUGCAGAUGGUCAGUGAAGCUGUGCUCACCCCUCCCAGGUGCUAACACUCAGCCUCUGCUGGGCAGAUGAAGCACAGCUGGGUAAUGAGCAGGUCCUGAUGGGCAGUGUUUGUUGGCCUGUGAACCUACCUUGCCUAUUUAGGGACCUGACCCAAACCAGGGAGCUCAGAAACGUGGUGCUCUCAGCUGUAGCCAUUCCUCUUCUUUAAAUUCAGUAGGUGUGCCUUUGCCACCAGCAGCAUCCUUGGAUUCCAGGCACCAUUCACAUCCUGCUGUUUGGGAAAUGGUCAUUGCCACCAGUCUGGGAAGAAUGUAUUUCUGCCCUUCUGAUAACCCACCAGAGGUCCCCUGAGGGCUGGGAUUCACGUUGCUUUCUGCCCUGAGGCUGUAAGAAACAGCAGUUUGGUGAUUUCCUUGGCUCUGUGUUGCUUGCCACUGGACCAGCUGGCACUGGACGAAAGAGAGCGGCUGCACAUCUUCCUGCUCCUGGUGGUUGGGACUGUUAAAAGUCAGCCCUGUGCCACAGGUUGCCCCAGCUCUUCAGGUGAUAACCUGCUUCAGCAGCAGCUGUGCACAGAAUUUACUGGGCUGCAGCUGGGAAUCUUUCUCUUUGAUCCAUCUCUGCUAUUAAACAGCUUGUGAUAACGCCACUGAGCUCACAUCGAGGAGGGGAAGCCGAGCAACCUCAAUAUUGGAGCUGAGCAGCAGUGGGGUGCCCAUCUUAAAGCUGCAUCACCUCACUGUCUUCAAAAGCAAAGGAGCUCCUUUUAUAGCAGCGAGCUGCUCUCCAGGAAUGAUUAAAGUCUCGUAAACGAGCACCUUCCUCAUCACAGAGCUGUCUGCUGACGGGGUGCCAAGUACAACAAGCCCAAUCCAAAGCAUCAUCCCCUCCAUGGGGCUAAUUGUUGUUGCCUUGUCUCUUGAACAAGAAGAGUGGUAAGGGAAAGCAGAGCCUGGAGACACACGCACAUCCCUGUACAGAAAUAACCCCUGAAAUAGAACUGACAAGCAAUUGAGGAGUCGGCCUGUGGGCUGCAGACAAAGCACAGAGCAAAGGAGAUAACCGGCAGUGAGCACUGGGAAAUAAUGCCCUAAAUUCCCUCUGAGCCCAUUCAUCACCGUGGCUUCGGCGAUCAUCUCAGCAACAAAUUCCCCUAUCAUCCAACUGAAAUUCGAUGUUAAUGACCUGUCUGUUAUUUCAGGGGGAGAUUGUCUGGAACCGGUGGGUAAUUGGUAGGAAAAAUCGCCGGGUACAGCAAAGAGCUGAUGCUACUGGAGUCGUUACACCACGAGAGAGGGAGAUUAGGGAGCUCUGCUUACCACAAGGGGCUUAUUCAUCCUGAAUAAAUGCAUUAGCUGCCCAGAGCUGUCCUCUUAUGCCCUUGUUCCUGUCUGGUGGCAUCUCCCCACCACAGCUUUUCCCAGCAAACAGCAGAGAUGCAGCCCAGAAGAAGCUGCUAGAAUCAUAGAACACCCAGAGCUGGAAGGGACCCAUAAGGAUCAUCGAGUCCAACUGCUGCUGUUGAGACGAUCACAGUAAGGAAUAACCUGCUCUCUCCAAGCUCACACUGAUGUAUGCGUUUAUUCUGGAGUUCUCUCAGGAAAGACCAUAAUUACUCUAAUUUCUUAAUUACCGAAAUUAUUCAGAAUGACUCUGCAAACACCUCUGCCCUGCAACGUUUUGCACGAGCAGCCUCCCAGAUUGCAGCAGCGUUAGGAUUUGGGUUUGUUCCUCUGCUGGAAGGAUUUGCUGCGUUCAUUGCCAUUUCUCCUUGCCAUCAUGUUAGCGGGGCAGCCUGCAGCCCUCACCAAAAAUAGGAUAACUGGAGAGCAUCAGGGGAGAGCUAGAAGCAAGUCCAGAGGUAAAGCCUUGGCUCUGUUGCAAAGGAUAGCUUUGCUGGGACUUGAUGUCUGUGCUUUUUCUCAACAGUUUCUCAUUCCCAUCUUGCUAACGGGACCAGCACCAGUCAUGUUUCGGUGAGCACACCUGCUUUAUAAAUUAGCUCCCAGGAGUAUUUGCAAAAACAGAGCUGAACUGCAUGGCCACGGGACUGGGUUUGCUGCAGAAAUACCAGCACGUAUUCAUAAUAAAGCAGCUGCACGCUUUGCCCAGCUCUGUCUGUAACUUCCCGUCAUGUCCUGUACCUUUCUGGGCAGAAAGAAUGGGUGGUAGUGGUGGGAAAAUUGCAAAAUCCUCCUUGGCUAGAUGAAGCAAUUAUUUUUGAUGCAGAUGGGGCUGCUUUUAACCCUACGUAUUCCAAACAUCUCUGUAUAACCCUAUGGGUUCUCCACCGUUGUAGGCAGUGAUGGAGAAGGAAAAAAAUGGGUGAGUAGGAUUUAACACCCAGCCAGAACUGAACUGUACAACACCCGACUGCAGAAGGGUCGGUUCUAUGCCCUUUAUGCGCAGUAGGCACCGCUGCUGCCUGUCCCCAGCAUGGCACGAGUUGGGGACCAUGAGUGGUGAGGAGCUCUCGUGGUGCCUCUCCCUGAGCUGCAGGCACAAAGGUUGGAUUUCUUCCCUAUGGCUGCGUGAAGAGCUGCUGACUGCUCCACCAGGAACUGAGGCAAUAAUCCCAGCUUGUCGUUCUCCUUCUCAUGGGAGACUUCUUGUGCAAAAGAAGCAUCAGUAGAAUGAAUCAAACGCUGCGGUAGUGGCCCCAUUCCCACGUGCUCUGUGUGCUCUUCCUCUCGACUCACCGGUGAGGAGGCGGUAUCAUGGGGAGGCUGUUCUGAAAAUGCUUUUAAUUGAUUUAGUUCAUAGCUGUGUUGGAGCAGGAAGGUGUUCCUUCCUUGUGCCCGGGAAUGGCAGAAUGUCCUCCAGCUGCCCCCAGAGAUGCAGCGCUGUGCCCGGGUAGCACUGCCUUGCUGCUGGCCAUCCGUGCCAAGCCUGGGAAUGAAAGCUUUGGCAACAGCCUGGACCAAGCUCUGGUAUCUUCCUUAUCGAGAAGCAUGCUGAUUACUGCAGACAAAUUGGAGAUGAACUUGCCUCUAGAGCCCAACGUGUUUGUGAAAUGAAUUGCAGUUACAUGGGGAUUUAUUAUUUCUGCAAAAGAGGCUUUCUUAUCAUGAUUUUUCCUUCCAUCUUGGACUCAUUGCUACCAGACCAGGAACCUUCAAACAGAUGUGUUUGGAGCCUUGAUGUGGGCUCACAGUGGCUGGGAAUCUUCUUGUUAUUCCUACAAAAAACAGACUCCAGCUGGAGGGGAAGAAGAGCCUCCAGCAUUAGAGAUGACCUAAACAGCACAUGUUGCAAAUGAGAUGGGAAGUGGAGAACUGCUUGAAACAUCUCUGGCCCUUUCAGCAGAACUGUUUUCCCUUUGCCUUCUCAAGGCUGAGCUGCAGACAUUGCAAGAAUGACCCCAGCAGACUGCUGCUGUUUCUGUUUUGCAUGUUCACAAGGCAGCUUCUGAAAUAAGUUUGCACACUGUUGAUCUUGCACUGGACAGCCUCACAUCAGGUGGCAGGGAAGCCCCUGCUCAUGCUGCCCUGACCCUGCUGCUCUUACUUCCCAUGCUGAUGCAUCAGUGCAUGAUGUGGCUGGAAAUGAGGUGGUGCAGGGUGGUCUCCUUGGGUUUUGCAGCUGAAAUAGGUUACUGAGCUCCUGAAGGCAUCCACCAGGAUUGCUAUGGCCUGGAACAGCACUAGGAAAGAUGCUCUGCUUCAAGCUGGGGUUGUGCUGGUGGUGGGAGCUGGGGAUUUCAAAUCUUCCUACAGUUGGAUAUUUCAACCAAUGGCAUAAAUAAUGGAAAGCCUUCCAAAAGAAUGCCAUCCUAAGGGCUGUUCCCCUAAGAAGAAAUGCAGGUCAGGAAAUACAUUGGCCAUAUGAGUUUGUGAGUCCUUUCAAUUGUGAACAGUGCACUAAUCAAGAUUUGGCUAAUGGGUAUGCUGGGAUAUGCACACAGAUAUGCUCUUCUUUUGAGUCUUUCUCUUUACCUUUCAACCCCUGAAAUCAUCCAAGCUGCUAACACUCUGAGGAGGAUGAUGCAGCAAAAAUAAUAGUUUUAGCAAGAAGCAGAAAAAUGAGAUUAGCAUCUGUUUUUCUGGGAAAAAUAUCAACUUUUCCUGCUUAGAAAAUGAAUGGGUUGGAAACCAGCUUGUAAAACUCAAAGCCUGAUUCAGGCACUGAUUUGUCACGGGGCUGUCACCUGCAGUCACUGUUAGAGAGGAGCCCUCAAUGUUCUGUCCAAAAGGAACGAUUGCUGUCUGAGUUAUUGAUGGAUUCGUAUGUGGGGAAGAGCAAAUCCUGGUCAAGCUGGAGGACUUUUGCACACAUUCAGCAGCGGGUGAGUAAAGUUAGUGGAAUACAGAACCAUCCCUGCUCGCUGCAGAGCAGCCCCCAAGGAGCACAGUGAUAAAUGAAUUGCAGAAAGCUUGGAGCUUCAACUCGGCCAGGGGAAAUAACGCUGUGUCUAUCUGAUCUCUGCAAACCUGGCUUUCCGCUUAUGUGCCUGAUGAUAAAUCAGCAGUAAAUGUGCUUAGGUUGGCACGCCAAGUUUUUCCCUGGAUGCUGUUCUGUAGGCACGCACUUUCUUCACCACAAGAGUCCAGAUCUGGUGCAGAAACCACAAGCGUGGUACAGGCAGGCGGCAUCCCAUCCCAACACCAUUGCAUUGCCCUUGGCCUGCCAGCCAGAGCCAGCCCAGCACAGCCAUGGGAGAAGGAUGGCAGGCACUCCAGGAGGACCUCUUCAAACUGCAGAGAAGGUAUGGUGUGCAACUCGUUGCUGGUUCCAUGAGAGCUUCUCCACGGCGCUCACACAGGGACAUAAAAUGUGAGGGGUGGCCUCUGUCCUCCUGGCACCGUGGUUCCCUGAGUGCAGCUCCCUUCCUUGAGCAGGAUCAGAGCAGGGCUUCGGAGGAUCCUAUGCAGAGAGCAUCCUCCAAGGACGUGUUUUCAAAGACUCUCCAUCUCCCAAAGGCUGAAUAAUCUCAAGAAAGGGCCCAGGAAGAAGUGAAAUCCUCUCCAGAACGGUCAUUUGCAAGAGUGUGUUUCCGUAACCUUGCAUUGUUACAGCAUCACAAGGAUUUGUCUCCUCUUCUGGCUCCAGCACGCAUGUUCCUGGCUCCCAUGGAGGCACUGUGGACAGCCCAUGCCAUACAACGUGCCAGAAACAUGACCUCCCCAUGAACUUCGGGCCAUAUUUUCAAGUCUGCGCCCAGCUCCUUGCAGGCAGGGCUGUCUGGCCAGUGCAUUCUGGCCCUUUUGCAUGGAAAAUGAGCUGUGUCAGCCUUCGUGGCCCACUGGCUUGCCAGCUGCAUCCCUAACAGCACUUUGCAGCCUCCUCCCUCCGUGCUCAACAUGUUGCCUUCACCUGGCACAUGGGACAGCAACGAGGGGACUGUGAGCUUGUCCUCGGUGGCUGGGGCCCAGCUGGCCACCCCCAUCUCCCCACUGCAGCCACCGCACGCUCCUCGAUGCAGCAGAACUCAAUGUACAGCCCUUUUAUUUUUCCUCCUUGGUUUUCCUGUUUCCAGAACAGUUGAAUAUUUUACUUGCAUCGUGCCCCAGUUCCCCAGUUUCCAGCAGGCAGAACAGGGCGAUCUGUACUCACCUCUUGCAGCAGCUGGUGCUUGUUCCCCUGGCAAAACUUCACUUUGGAGCUGAACCCAACAAUGCUGCUGACUCCAACUGAUUCUUUCUCCCCCAGCCUAAGGCACUUUAUGAUGAUAUUAAUAACCAGACACUGAGGUUCAGCACUAAGGAUUUCUUAAGCUUGCUGCUGGGGCUGUGAUUGAGCUUUGUAGCCAUCUCUGCUUCAUCCCAUGAUCCAUCAGGGUUGGUGGGGACACCCAGACCUCUUUUGGGAAGUCCCUCCACAGCUCCUCCCUCCCAUAGCACCCAUGGGGUCAGGGGCAGACCGGGUGCUCCCAGACCUCUUUCCUGUUCUGCCCUUAAUACAUCAAAGGGAGAUCUCUUGUUCGAUGGUUCUCUAUUAACCCUAUUCAUGAGUCUUUUAAUUAGUGUUGCCUUCUGCUAAGUAAUCGCUUCAGCAUUAGCUCCUCUGGGGCAAUGCAGAGCUGCAACAGGGCACUGCAGGAGCUGCAUGCUGCUGUUCUGCUUUCUGGACCUGCUCCUGCUGGCAACUAUGCCAUUCCUUUUGCACAGACCGCACAGUGCCAGAGCAGCCCACUAAAACUUGCAAAGAAAAGCAGAAAGAAGCAUCUGAAACCCCACCAGGAGCUGCGGCAGGUAGAGUUCUAUCCUUACAUCUGGGAAACCUCCAGCUCAGCUCAAUCCUGCUGAUGCACUGCUAAGGGGAGCUUUGUAGUGGCCCUAUUCAAAGCACUCAGCUCUGGGGGCAUGUUUCCCCCAGCACCCAGGAGUAAUGUUUCCUUUGUUAAUUCAGGGUCCCCACCAAUCUGCAUCACCCCAUGCCUGGAGGCAGAGCUGCCAUGGCUGCCUUUUAUCCCCUGCAUCCUCCGGCAGAGCUCACAAAGUGGUACUUUGUACCAGAGCAAGAAACAAGAGACGUGAGCUGUAAUACAGGAGAGAGAGAAAAAAAAACCCUCAUCUCACCCCUUGUGUUUUUCCUGGAAAUGUCACUGCCCUUAAUGCAUCAAAUAAUUAGAAUCACUUCUCCCCUUUUGUUUGCCUUGGCCCUCACUGCUCGCAUUGAGUGGGCCAACAUAAACCUGUGCGCACCACAGGAAUUUUGGGCACAGCCCAUUCUGCAGUGUUGGGUGCAGGGGGAGAAGUGGCUGCAGGAGCUUUGGUUCUGCUCCAUAUGUCUCUGCUGCUGUGGGCACUGCUGGGCACAGAGCUCCCGUAGAGAGGACCUCACUGCAACGCUAGCGCUCAACCAAGUGCUGGUCCCAAUGGAAAUCCACUGUCCUGGAGAGAAGCAGCAGCAGCUGAUGCCCAUUUAAUGCCAAAAUUGCAGAUUUGUGUUUGACCUGAGUGGUGGGUGUGAGCGUGAUGCUGGCGGGACAGAUGGGUGGAUAGCUCUCUGAAGUCCCAGUGGGAUGUUAUGCUUGUUGCUCUGUAGUUGUAGCCUUCUCCUCUGGGUGCUGGGGAGUGCUCCGAGGUGACGUGGGAGAACAUAUCCCUUGUGAAUGCUGGAAAGCUGUGCUGGGUGAGGUGGCAUUGCACCACUAAUCCACGCACAGAGGAGCCCAGCACCCCCUCAGCACCCCUUACAGACACAGAUGGACACAGCCAGCAUCACAGCCCAGCUGGCUGCCUGCCCCCAGCACCGCUCCCAUGGGCUGCAUGUAUGUCAAUGGGUUAUUAAAGAAACGGAUGGGGGAUUAGCUGUGCUGUAGGUAGAGACCCCAUUCAGAUUUGCUAAGUUUCAGCAAGUAUGUUUUCAAUAAUUGGCUGGUAUUUGUAAGAAAUGAAUAAAACCUAGGCUACUAAAGCUGGUCCUUCUCUUAUUAUAAGGCAUUUAUUGCAUGCUUAGAAGCAUAUGUCUUCAAUAUCUGAAGCAAAGGAAAGUAAUAUAUAAGGAUCCCUUCUUAAACACAAAUAUAUGCAGCCAUAAUCACAAUUAUUAGCCACCAUGAAAUAGCUAAGAAACUGAAGAAGCCCCAUCAGCAGCAGCUUUACAACUAGGGGUGCAUAAGAAAUAAAGACAAAGGCGAGAAUUGCCCUCUUAGCUGUGCGAGACUCCACAAGGCAGAGGAAGGAUCAGCUUUGCUGAGGAGUGUUGGCAUCUCGGAGAAGGUUCACAGAUGAAGCCAAUGGAGAAGGGUGUGCAGGAGCGGGGCAGGGAAUUGGGAAGCAGCGCUGCUGCUGGUGGUUGUAUCCUUCUGAAGAAAGAACACUGGAAAACCAAAGCUACCUGUCACUGCUGCUGUUAUCGCAGAGGUAUUUGGGAGAGGGUGAGCGAAUGUUUCUGUAGAACUGCGUGCUGAUUUAUUGGUACGGAGGGAGGUGCAGCGGGGAAACCACUGUGCGGAUCGUUGGCGAGGAGGGGCACGUGGUUCUCCAAAGAUUUUUGUCUGAAAACGCAAUCAGCUGAAGUCAGCGCUGCGCCGAGGGUCUGAGCAGAGCUCGGUGCUGCUCAAGGAGGCACUUUCAUGUAAGAGGGAAGAAAUGGGCCCUGGCUCGGUGUAUAUCCCUGUUGGUCUUCUGAACACUUCGCAUUGUGUCUUCCUCCUCACUGCACCGCCCUGAAGCACAUACAGAAAAUGAUUGCUGAAAACGGGGCGUCCGCGAGUCACAAUGAGCGCAAUUAAACCAUGGAACGGAUUCCCCAGGGAUCUCACGCAUCCUUGGCUGCUUGGAGGAGCCUCAGGGCGGGCUGCAGCAGCUCCUUCCCUUUGGUGGAGCAGCGCUGUUCCUCCUGGGAUUUGCUCCAAACGGACAGCUCUGCUCUGCUCCAGCUGCUCGGUGGGUUUCUCUCCAGCACGUUGCUGGUUUGCACAUCGUUUCAAGCCUGCAGCUGUUAUCGGGCUGUUGGUUUGAGCGUUGUUCACUUCCAAUCCCUGCCUCAUUGCAGGGGGAGACCAUCCCUGGAGAUCCUCCCCUCUCCCAUCUCCAGGGCACCGAUCCUCAGCCACUCUGAGCGCAAUGCAGACACCACACAGCUCAGCAGGUUUCAGUGCCUCUGCCACCAACUGCGACUCAAAUCCAAAGCGAUUUGGCUUUGUUUUGUUUCUAAGUUGCUGCUCGAGCUUUCUUGGCUCACAGGCAGAUUUUCUCUUCCAAGGUUUCAGUGGUGGAGGGCCGUUUCCCUAAUCCCCAAUAGUUUGAGAUUAUCUCCAGCCAACAAUUAAUCAGAAUCAGAAUUUUGCACUGCUUGCCUGUGCUGCCGCAUUGAGUGCAUGUAAAACCCUCU